UUGGCUUAUAUUUCCAAUGUAAUUGUCAAGGCAUGUUUAAGACAUUUUUUUUAGUGUUUAAAAGCUGUAUGCAACAAUAAUGUCUACGCAUUUUGACAGAAAGUGGACAUGUGGUUGAGGGUCCCUUGGAAUUAAGAGAAACAUAUGAUGAUGGAGUGCCAAGUAGAAAAAGAAACAAAAAAGAAAUAAUUUAUCAGGCAACCCAAUACAUCAUGCAUUUAUGUGCUAUAAUGUCAUUGGUUAUAGGUUGCAAACAGGAUAACUGCUAGUACAUCAUAUCUCCAACGGCAUAAGUGACAAGGGAGUGUCUGUGCAACUUGCUAAAAUAAAUACUACAACAUAUUUUAGUACGAUAUAUGGAUUUACUGAAAAUUUCUAGUCAUUGUGUAUAUUUUCCACCAAUAAACACACACAAAGAUGAGGAUCUGUCCAAGGUAGGGUGCUGUCAGUUCAAACUCAACACCAUGUGAUGCAAACUUCUUUACCUCACAGCUACAUCUACUUCCAUUACUGUACCAUACGCAAAACUGCAAUUAAAACUUUUUGAGGCCCUUACUACUAAUAAAUAUUUUGAUCCUGAUCACUAUAUUUUCUUGGCUUUAAUUUUUUGAAAUUCACAGAGUAGUUAUUAAAACUAGAUCGCCAAUACAAAAACAUCCUAUUAGGUGGUGCUCUAGUAUGGCCUUACACAUGAUGGCUAAACAUGCUAAAGAAUUAUAAGCAUCCAACAAUGAAUCAUUUUGACACUAUCUAUAGAAAUAAAAUGAACAAAUGAGGUAUGAUGAUAGAACCUUUAGUCCUGACAAUAAUGUUAGAGAAUUCUCAUAAAAGCCCUUUGACGGGUCUUUACAAAUCAAUCUCCAAACAUUCCCUGGUUUUAUAAUUUCAAGGUAAAAUUGCUCUUCAAUUACUUCUGAAAUUGCUUAUCCAAAACAAUAUAUGUGGGUCCAGUUAUUGGUAUAACUUGUACUGUAUCCAAUCGAACUUUAUUUUAUCCAGAUCAGAACAUUUUGCCUUUUAAUGUAUAUGUACAUAAACACACGCAAGGCAUGGGUAUCUGUUUAAGACAUUCACUUUGCAAUGGGCAUGUGUUUUCUACUAGUUUCAGACCAGGGGGUCACCAAA